ACCCUCCCCCCAUAGUACACUCCCUCUGAACAUCUGGAAACAUCUGUAGCUGGAACCCUUGGGUCUGCACGUAAUCGAGUGUUACAGACCACGGGGUCUCCCUUCUAUUGAUCGAUGGCCCUAAAAUUCCUGUACAACUCAUCGGGCCAGACAGAAACCUCGGAGCUGGUUUUUGGACGAGGGUCUGCUUCUCCCCGAGGUGGCCGGCCUCCUGGAGAAAAUUCAGAUUCUUUUCCAAUCAGAACUCGUUUCUUGAGUAUUGGCUUUUCCAGGGACAGCAGCCUAACCUGGGUUUUGGGUAUUGAGGUGAGGAUCACCAGGAUUCAGAGCACACUCCGGGGGACACUGCCAGGAGUGUCCCAGGUGGCUCAGACCCCACAGCGUGAUGCGUUUGUAGGGACCCACAGAGGCAGAACCUGUCCCGUGUCCACACACCAUGGGAGUGAUGCCCAACACCAAGCCGGCCAUCGAUGUGUUUCUGCUGAACAGGAGAGCAAGCCAACAAAGGAACAGGAAUGAGCAGGAGACUGCAGCAAGCUUUGCUAGAAAAUCCACUAGAGGUGCCCAGGCCUCGGAGGGAAUGUUUCAGAAACCACAGGACGCCCACUCCAUCAGAGAGCCCUGGAAGCAACAGCAGGACAGGGGCGGCAUUUCCAGAGCCUUCCUCGGAGGGAGGGGGAAGGACUGUGUGUGCACCCGGAAGGCUUGUGAUGCUCGGCUUUCCGUGACAGCCCCAGCGUCAGCCCUCGGGAGCAGGCUUCUUAAAUUGCGGGCUGAACGGCUCUGACUCACCACCCAACUCGUUCCUGCUCUUAUUUUCCAUUAUAGAAACCUUAUCUUGUGCGUCAAGAUCCAAGAUAAAAACAAUUCCUUUUUCCAUCCUCCUCAAAUGCUCAUAAAUCUUUUUUAUGGGCCACAGAAGCCACUGGCCAGUCUUACAACUCAGGAUUGUGUCCUGGAAGACCUGGGGUCAUCUCUUUGUAUGUAAUCAUCAAGGAAAGUAACACCCCAUUUCCUCAGGGGGAGAUGCGCCUACUUUCUCCUGACUCGACCUUGUGAAAGCUGCCUGAUGCAAAAGAUUUAUCCGUUUAGCUACGGAAGACAGACAGACAGACAGACAGGCGUUUCUCUUUGCAACUCCUCCCGAUGCUGGCCUGGGAUUCUCAUCAC